rnacentral:rRNA from 1 species
AGCAGCCGCGGUAAUUCCAGCUCCAAUAGCGUAUAUUAAAGUUGUUGCAGUUAAAAAGCUCGUAGUUGAAUUUCGGGAUUAAUAUGCUGGUCGUGCCAUUGGUACGUACUAGUAUUAUUGAUUUCUCCCUUCUGAUAAAUCAUGAUGUCAUUAAUUUGAUGUCAUGAGGAAUCAGGACUGUUACUUUGAAAAAAUUAGAGUGUUUAAAGCAGGCUCGCGCUUGAAUACAUUAGCAUGGAAUAAUGAAAUAGGACGUUUGAUUCUAUUUUGUUGGUUUCUAGGAUUGACGUAAUGAUUAAUAGGGAUAGUUGGGGGCAUUAGUAUUCAAUUGUCAGAGGUGAAAUUCUUGGAUUUAUUGAAGACUAACUACUGCGAAAGCAUUUGCCAAGGAUGUUUUCAUUAAUCAAGAACGAAAGUUAGGGGAUCGAAGACGAUCAGAU